AGAGUUUGAUCAUGGCUCAGAUUGAACGCUGGCGGCAGGCCUAACACAUGCAAGUCGAACGGUAACAGGAAGCAGCUUGCUGCUUUGCUGACGAGUGGCGGACGGGUGAGUAAUGUCUGGGAAACUGCCUGAUGGAGGGGGAUAACUACUGGAAACGGUAGCUAAUACCGCAUAACGUCGCAAGACCAAAGAGGGGGACCUUCGGGCCUCUUGCCAUCGGAUGUGCCCAGAUGGGAUUAGCUAGUAGGUGGGGUAACGGCUCACCUAGGCGACGAUCCCUAGCUGGUCUGAGAGGAUGACCAGCCACACUGGAACUGAGACACGGUCCAGACUCCUACGGGAGGCAGCAGUGGGGAAUAUUGCACAAUGGGCGCAAGCCUGAUGCAGCCAUGCCGCGUGUAUGAAGAAGGCCUUCGGGUUGUAAAGUACUUUCAGCGGGGAGGAAGGGAGUAAAGUUAAUACCUUUGCUCAUUGACGUUACCCGCAGAAGAAGCACCGGCUAACUCCGUGCCAGCAGCCGCGGUAAUACGGAGGGUGCAAGCGUUAAUCGGAAUUACUGGGCGUAAAGCGCACGCAGGCGGUUUGUUAAGUCAGAUGUGAAAUCCCCGGGCUCAACCUGGGAACUGCAUCUGAUACUGGCAAGCUUGAGUCUCGUAGAGGGGGGUAGAAUUCCAGGUGUAGCGGUGAAAUGCGUAGAGAUCUGGAGGAAUACCGGUGGCGAAGGCGGCCCCCUGGACGAAGACUGACGCUCAGGUGCGAAAGCGUGGGGAGCAAACAGGAUUAGAUACCCUGGUAGUCCACGCCGUAAACGAUGUCGACUUGGAGGUUGUGCCCUUGAGGCGUGGCUUCCGGAGCUAACGCGUUAAGUCGACCGCCUGGGGAGUACGGCCGCAAGGUUAAAACUCAAAUGAAUUGACGGGGGCCCGCACAAGCGGUGGAGCAUGUGGUUUAAUUCGAUGCAACGCGAAGAACCUUACCUGGUCUUGACAUCCACGGAAGUUUUCAGAGAUGAGAAUGUGCCUUCGGGAACCGUGAGACAGGUGCUGCAUGGCUGUCGUCAGCUCGUGUUGUGAAAUGUUGGGUUAAGUCCCGCAACGAGCGCAACCCUUAUCCUUUGUUGCCAG
rnacentral:rRNA from 2 species